GUACACACAUAACUAAUGUCAAACCAGGUGGGGAAAAGGUGUCACGUGACCUCACGUAUAAUUCGCUGGUCCAUGCGUGAUUCCCAACCAUAUUGACAUGGAUAUCAAACGAAUGGGAAUUGAAGAAGCUAUGCGAUGGUACACACGUAACGAACGUCAAACCAGGUGGCAAAAAGGUGUCACGUCAUCUCACGUAUAAUUCGCUGGUUCAUGCGUGAUUCCCAACCAUACUGACAUGGAUAUCAAACGAACGGGAAUUGAAGAAGCUAUGCGAUGGUACACACGAAACGAACGUUAAACCAGGUGGGAAAAGUGUGUCACGUGACCUCACGUAUCUUUUGCUAGCCCAUGCGUGAUUCCCAACCAUAUUGACAUGGAUAUCAAACGAACGGGCUUCGAAGAAGCUCUGCGAUGGUACACACGUAACGAACGUCAAACCAGGUGGCAAAAAGGUGUCACGUCAUCUCACGUAUAAUUCGCUGGUUCAUGCGUGAUUCCCAACCAUAUUGACAUGGAUAUCAAACGAAUGGGAAUUGAAGAAGCUAUGCGAUGGUACACACGUAACGAACGUCAAACCAGGUGGCAAAAAGGUGUCACGUCAUCUCACGUAUAAUUCGCUGGUUCAUGCGUGAUUCCCAACCAUACUGACAUGGAUAUCAAACGAACGGGAAUUGAAGAAGCUAUGCGAUGGUACACACGAAACGAACGUUAAACCAGGUGGGAAAAGUGUGUCACGUGACCUCACGUAUCUUUUGCUAGCCUAUGCGUGAUUCCCAACCAUAUUGACAUGGAUAUCAAACAAACGGGCUUCGAGGAAGCUCUGCGAGGGUACACACUUAACGAACGUCAAACCAGGUGGGAAAAGGGUGUCACGUGACCUCUCGUAUCUUUCGCUGGUCCAUGCGUGAUUCCCAACCAUACUUACAUGGAUAUCAAACGAACGGGCUUUGAAGAAGCUCUGCGAUUGUACGCACGUCGCAUACUUCAAACAACGUAAAAAAG